rnacentral:rRNA from 1 species
GCACCGGCUAACUCCGUGCCAGCAGCCGCGGUAAUACGGAGGGUGCGAGCGUUAAUCGGAAUUACUGGGCGUAAAGCGCAUGCAGGUGGUUUGUUAAGUCAGAUGUGAAAGCCCGGGGCUCAACCUCGGAAUAGCAUUUGAAACUGGCAGACUAGAGUACUGUAGAGGGGGGUAGAAUUUCAGGUGUAGCGGUGAAAUGCGUAGAGAUCUGAAGGAAUACCGGUGGCGAAGGCGGCCCCCUGGACAGAUACUGACACUCAGAUGCGAAAGCGUGGGGAGCAAACAGGAUUAGAUACCCUGGUAGUCCACGCCGUAAACGAUGUCUACUUGGAGGUUGUGGCCUUGAGCCGUGGCUUUCGGAGCUAACGCGUUAAGUAGACCGCCUGGGGAGUACGGUCGCAAGAUUAAAACUCAAAUGAAUUGACGGGGGCCCGCACAAGCGGUGGAGCAUGUGGUUUAAUUCGAUGCAACGCGAAGAA